rnacentral:lncRNA from 1 species
UAUAUCUAAAAAAACAAUUAAUAGAAUCAUGAAUAAUAAAAAUAAAUUAGUAUUCCAUUUUGAUAAAAAAAUUAAAAAAAAAAACAUCAAAUUAGAGUAGAUAAGAAUAAGUAUAACUUUGAUUUUUCUGAAAGCAGGUAAUUUAAUAUGUAAAUUGAAAUCGAUUGGAAGUGUUGAGGGUAUAUGAAAUGAGUAUGAGAGGGGC